GACGGUACCUGAAGAAAAAGCAUCGGCUAACUCCGUGCCAGCAGCCGCGGUAAUACGAAGGAUGCAAGUGUUAUCCGGAAUCAUUGGGCGUAAAGGGUCCGCAGGUGGCCAAUCAAGUCGGCUGUUAAAGACCGGGGCUUAACUCCGGGCAGGCAGUGGAAACUGAUUAGCUAGAGUACGGUAGGGGUAGAGGGAAUUCCCAGUGUAGCGGUGAAAUGCGUAGAUAUUGGGAAGAACACCGGUGGCGAAAGCGCUCUACUAGGCCGAAACUGACACUGAGGGACGAAAGCUAGGGUAGCGAAAGGGAUUAGAUACCCCUGUAGUCUUAGCUGUAAACGAUGGAUACUAGGUGUAGCUCGUAUCGACCCCAGCUGUGCCGAAGCUAACGCGAUAAGUAUCCCGCUUGGGGAGUACGCACGCAAGUGUGAAACUCAAAGGAAUUGACGGGGGCCCGCACAAGCGGUGGAGUAUGUGGUUUAAUUCGAUGCAACGCGAAGAACCUUACCAGGGCUUGACAUGUCGCGAAUCUAGCGGAAACGUUAGAGUGCCUUAGGGAAUGCGAACACAGGUGGUGCAUGGCUGUCGUCAGCUCGUGUCGUGAGAUGUUGGGUUAAGUCCCGCAACGAGCGCAACCCUCGUCCUUAGUUGCCAAUAUUAAGUUAGGCACUCUAGGGAUACUGCCGGGGACAACCCGGAGGAAGGUGGGGAUGACGUCAAGUCAGCAUGCCCCUUACGUCCUGGGCGACACACGUACUACAAUGGUUGGGACAAAGGGCAGCAAGCUCGCGAGAGUAAGCGAAUCUCAUCAAACCCAGCCACAGUUCAGAUUGCAGGCUGCAACUCGCCUGCAUGAAGUAGGAAUCGCUAGUAAUCGCAGGUCAGCAUACUGCGGUGAAUUCGUUCCCGGGCCUUGUACACACCGCCCGUCACACCAUGGAAGCUGGCUACGCCCGAAGUCGUUACCCUAACCCUAAGGGGAGGGGGAUGCCGAAGGUAGAGCUAGUGACUGGGGUGAAGUCGUAACAAGGUAGCCGUACCUGAAGGUGUGGCUGGAUCACCUCCUUUACAGGGAGACCUAGUCUAAUUACCAAUAAAUAGAAAAGUUGGUAAUUUGCCAGAAUCCUUAGGUCGUGAAGGGGAGCAAGAAAAAACUUUCAAACUGUAAUGGGCGAGGGUCAAUGGGCUAUUAGCUCAGGUGGUUAGAGCGCACCCCUGAUAAGGGUGAGGUCCCUGGUUCAAGUCCAGGAUGGCCCACCUGAAAGAGACAGGCAGGAUGCCUGUGCCACAAAAAAAGGAAAAAGUUUUAGCAUUGUCUCUUGUAGAGCAAGAGAUAAUGCUGGAAUCUCUUCCAGCAAGAACC
rnacentral:misc_RNA from 1 species